rnacentral:sRNA from 12 species
ACUGUGGAGUAUUAUACCAAAUGUAAGUAGCUUUUAUAGCAAAAGCAGAUACGUUGAGACGGUUG